GUGAAGGAAACCUACAUGCAGAGAGUCCGAAGAGUGUUCCAGGUUGAGAAACCAGCACAUGCAAAGGCCCCAGGUGAAAGAGCGUGAAGCAAGGCCGUCAUGCUGCACAGGCCAGGCCCACUGCAACCCGACCCAUGAGACCCAUGCUUUUCCCAGGCUACCUCCCUGCCCCUGGAGUUACAGGAAGAUUAGCCCUGAGCUAACAUCUGCUGCCAAUCCUCCUCUUUCUGCUGAGGA